rnacentral:rRNA from 1 species
UAAUACAUGCAGUCGAGCGAAUCGAUGGGAGCUUGCUCCCUGAGAUUAGCGGCGGACGGGUGAGUAACACGUGGGCAACCUGCCUAUAAGACUGGGAUAACUUCGGGAAACCGGAGCUAAUACCGGAUACGUUCUUUUCUCGCAUGAGAGAAGAUGGAAAGACGGUUUACGCUGUCACUUAUAGAUGGGCCCGCGGCGCAUUAGCUAGUUGGUGAGGUAAUGGCUCACCAAGGCGACGAUGCGUAGCCGACCUGAGAGGGUGAUCGGCCACACUGGGACUGAGACACGGCCCAGACUCCUACGGGAGGCAGCAGUAGGGAAUCUUCCGCAAUGGACGAAAGUCUGACGGAGCAACGCCGCGUGAACGAAGAAGGCCUUCGGGUCGUAGAGUUCUGUUGUUAGGGAAGAACAAGUACCAGAGUAACUGCUGGUACCUUGACGGUACCUAACCAGAAAGCCACGGCUAACUACGUGCCAGCAGCCGCGGUAAUACGUAGGUGGGCAGCGUUGUCCGGAAUUAUUGCGCGUAAAGCGCGCGCAGGUGG